rnacentral:misc_RNA from 1 species
ACAGUCAGUGUCUCAGACAAUGCCUGCAAGUAAGACCCAAAAACAAGAUAGGUCAAUUAGAAGGUCAGUGACAAAAAGCUUAAUGCUUAUAAUAAUUAGGAAGAUGUGUGUCCGGAUAAUCUUCCAUUGUUAUACUAGAUCUUAGUCUAAAAACAGGAAGCCUUCUAAUCAAUUUUAUCAGUGGGAAAAUAAGAGAAGAUUCAAAAGAAUUUAAAAUAUUUGUUAAGAUCAGAAGGCAUUAAUUAUAAGAUGAAGUAUGGAUACUUUAAACAUACACAAAGAAUCAGAUAUUUUCUGGUUAUUUGUCAUCACAAAUGUAUACACACCCUUAAAGCAGCCUUA